AUCUUCUGAGUAUGAUAAGUACGCUCGCCUUCCAAGCAAGAAGUUUAAAAAAUUUUAAAGAAGAUA
rnacentral:tRNA from 1 species